rnacentral:rRNA from 1 species
GACGAACGCUGGCGGCGUGCUUAACACAUGCAAGUCGAACGGAAAGGCCCUGCUUUUGUGGGGUGCUCGAGUGGCGAACGGGUGAGUAACACGUGAGUAACCUGCCCUUGACUUUGGGAUAACUUCAGGAAACUGGGGCUAAUACCGGAUAGGAGCUCCUGCUGCAUGGUGGGGGUUGGAAAGUUUCGGCGGAUGGGGAUGGACUCGCGGCUUAUCAGCUUGUUGGUGGGGUAGUGGCUUACCAAGGCUUUGACGGGUAGCCGGCCUGAGAGGGUGACCGGCCACACUGGGACUGAGAGACGGCCCAGACUCCUAAGGGAGGAAGCAGUGGGGAAUAUUGCACAAUGGGCGGAAGCCUGAUGCAGCAAGGCCGCGUGCGGGAUGACGGCCUUCGGGGUGUAAACCGCUUUCGCCUGUGACGAAGCGUGAGUGACGGUAAUGGGUAAAGAAGCCCCGGCUAACUACGUG